ensembl:snRNA U6 U6 spliceosomal RNA
GUCCCCGGCUCGCUCUGGUGGCACAUAUACUAAACUUGAUACAGAGAAGAUUAGCAUGACCCCUGCACAAGGAUGACACAGAAAUUUGCGGAGUGUUCCAUAUUUAA